ACUAUUGUGGAGGCAUAAUCUUAAACAGUAAUUAAUCUCUCUGUUUUCAACCAAUCAAACUGUAGGUAUUUAUUACAUAGUUUUAUAUUUGACUAUGUGCUAUAAACAACUUGAACAUUUUUUACUCCAUAUUUUGAUCCCAGAUAUUGUGUCCGCCUAUGAUUGGGUUUACAAGAGGCUGCAUUCCAAAAAUCAAGACUAGAGAACGCACAGCAUACGAUGUCUGUCAGUACAUCGCAGGGGCUAUAAAUUUUAUUUUGGCCGGUGGAAUCGAUCCGCAACAGAUUGUCAGGAAAUUGCACGUAACAUCGUGCAUGCAAAUGUUAUGUGGAAGUAAAUACUGUAUACAGAUGCCCUUUUUAGUAUGACACAAAUCCACUACGGUCUACACAAAUCCCACAAGCGUUUGAGAUACUUACAGGUAAUUUCGUAUCUUCUCCUCAGAACCAGGGUUUUGAAUGACGUCCUUGGCUUGUCUAGACUGACAUAAAAUAUCAGAUUUAUUGUGUAUGGAAUUGGACCGCUGAGACUGCUGGGAUGCAGUCCAGGAAUGAGAGAUGUCUGCCUUACCAAAUGGAAAGGCGGAUGCCAUGAAACCGUCGAAGAAAUGUUUCAGCAAUUUAAUUUAGGGUUACAAAAGCUCAUUCGCCAUUUCAACAAAAAUCUAUGUCAAUCCUUACUAACUCGUCCUCGACAUCAUAAAUAAUUGCAAAACACUGGGUGAUCAGCGAGGUUGGGGAUAUGGUCCAUUCCAAUUUUUUUCUGACUGAACUGUAGAAGCAACAAUAGCAGAAAGAAGAGAAAAACCUUUGUUGAAAGCAACCUGAAUCAAGACACAACAAUCUUGAUCAUUGUGUGGUUUUGAUGAUGCUUGUGAAUUAAUCAUAUUUUAUCGUUUAUGAAGAUAGUUGUUUUUCCUAUGGAGUUUAUGUCUUCUAUAAUGUUGGUGUCUAUGAUCAUUUUUAAUGGCAUUGUAUUGUAGAUCCUUUGUAAUGGGGGGUUGUAUUGUAAAGCCAUGAACAGAUUAUAGACUAAUCAAUAAAAAAAUUCAAUUCUUUAGACUAA